rnacentral:rRNA from 1 species
GUUAAGCGACUAAGCGUACACGGUGGAUGCCCUGGCAGUCAGAGGCGAUGAAGGGCGUGCUAAUCUGCGAUAAGCGCCGGUAAGGUGAUAUGAACCGUUAUAACCGGCGAUACCCGAAUGGGGAAACCCAGUGUGACUCGUCACACUAUCAUUAACUGAAUCCAUAGGUUAAUGAGGCGAACCGGGGGAACUGAAACAUCUAAGUACCCCGAGGAAAAGAAAUCAACCGAGAUUCCCCCAGUAGCGGCGAGCGAACGGGGAGGAGCCCAGAGCCUGAAUCAGCAUGUGUGUUAGUGGAAGCGUCUGGAAAGGCGCGCGAUACAGGGUGACAGCCCCGUACACAAAAGCGCAUGUGCUGUGAGCUCGAUGAGUAGGGCGGGACACGUGGUAUCCUGUCUGAAUAUGGGGGGACCAUCCUCCAAGGCUAAAUACUCCUGACUGACCGAUAGUGAACCAGUACCGUGAGGGAAAGGCGAAAAGAACCCCGGCGAGGGGAGUGAAAAAGAACCUGAAACCGUGUACGUACAAGCAGUGGGAGCACAGGUUUACCUGUGUGACUGCGUACCUUUUGUAUAAUGGGUCAGCGACUUAUAUUCUGUAGCAAGGUUAACCGAAUAGGGGAGCCGCAGGGAAACCGAGUCUUAACCGGGCGUUAAGUUGCAGGGUAUAGACCCGAAACCCGGUGAUCUAGCCAUGGGCAGGUUGAAGGUUGGGUAACACUAACUGGAGGACCGAACCGACUAAUGUUGAAAAAUUAGCGGAUGACCUGUGGCUGGGGGUGAAAGGCCAAUCAAACCGGGAGAUAGCUGGUUCUCCCCGAAAGCUAUUUAGGUAGCGCCUCGUGAAUUCAUCUCCGGGGGUAGAGCACUGUUUCGGCUAGGGGGCCAUCCCGGCUUACCAACCCGAUGCAAACUGCGAAUACCGGAGAAUGUUAUCACGGGAGACACACGGCGGGUGCUAACGUCCGUCGUGAAGAGGGAAACAACCCAGACCGCCAGCUAAGGUCCCAAAGUCAUGGUUAAGUGGGAAACGAUGUGGGAAGGCCCAGACAGCCAGGAUGUUGGCUUAGAAGCAGCCAUCAUUUAAAGAAAGCGUAAUAGCUCACUGGUCGAGUCGGCCUGCGCGGAAGAUGUAACGGGGCUAAACCAUGCACCGAAGCUGCGGCAG